GCAGUCGAGCGAAUGAUGAGGAGCUUGCUCCUCUGAUUUAGCGGCGGACGGGUGAGUAACACGUGGGUAAUCUGCCUGUAAGACGGGGAUAACUCCGGGAAACCGGGGCUAAUACCGGAUAAUAAGAGAAGAAGCAUUUCUUCUUUUUGAAAGUCGGUUUCGGCUGACACUUACAGAUGAGCCCGCGGCGCAUUAGCUAGUUGGUGAGGUAACGGCUCACCAAGGCGACGAUGCGUAGCCGACCUGAGAGGGUGAUCGGCCACACUGGGACUGAGACACGGCCCAGACUCCUACGGGAGGCAGCAGUAGGGAAUCUUCGGCAAUGGGCGAAAGCCUGACCGAGCAACGCCGCGUGAGCGAUGAAGGCCUUCGGGUCGUAAAGCUCUGUUGUUAGAGAAGAACAAGUACGAGAGUAACUGCUCGUACCUUGACGGUACCUAACCAGAAAGCCACGGCUAACUACGUGCCAGCAGCCGCGGUAAUACGUAGGUGGCAAGCGUUAUCCGGAAUUAUUGGGCGUAAAGCGCGCGCAGGCGGUCUCUUAAGUCUGAUGUGAAAGCCCACGGCUCAACCGUGGAGGGUCAUUGGAAACUGGGAGACUUGAGUGCAGGAGAGAAAAGUGGAAUUCCACGUGUAGCGGUGAAAUGCGUAGAGAUGUGGAGGAACACCAGUGGCGAAGGCGGCUUUUUGGCCUGUAACUGACGCUGAGGCGCGAAAGCGUGGGGAGCAAACAGGAUUAGAUACCCUGGUAGUCCACGCCGUAAACGAUGAGUGCUAGGUGUUUGGGGGGGUUCCACCCUCAGUGCUGAAGUUAACACAUUAAGCACUCCGCCUGGGGAGUACGACCGCAAGGUUGAAACUCAAAGGAAUUGACGGGGGCCCGCACAAGCAGUGGAGCAUGUGGUUUAAUUCGAAGCAACGCGAAGAACCUUACCAGGUCUUGACAUCCUUUGACCACUCUAGAGAUAGAGCUUUCCCCUUCGGGGGACAAAGUGACAGGUGGUGCAUGGUUGUCG
rnacentral:rRNA from 1 species